CCUGGCGGCACUAGCGCGGUGGUCCCACCUGCCCCCAUGCCGAACUCAGAAGUGAAACGCCGUAGCGCCGAUGGUAGUGUGGGGUCUCCCCAUGUGAGAGUAGGGAACUGCCAGGC
rnacentral:rRNA from 1 species